CCCGGCGCGGGCUAACACAUGCAAGUCGAGCGGAUGAAAGGAGCUUGCUCCUGGAUUCAGCGGCGGACGGGUGAGUAAUGCCUAGGAAUCUGCCUGGUAGUGGGGGACAACGUUUCGAAAGGAACGCUAAUACCGCAUACGUCCUACGGGAGAAAGCAGGGGACCUUCGGGCCUUGCGCUAUCAGAUGAGCCUAGGUCGGAUUAGCUAGUUGGUGAGGUAAUGGCUCACCAAGGCGACGAUCCGUAACUGGUCUGAGAGGAUGAUCAGUCACACUGGAACUGAGACACGGUCCAGACUCCUACGGGAGGCAGCAGUGGGGAAUAUUGGACAAUGGGCGAAAGCCUGAUCCAGCCAUGCCGCGUGUGUGAAGAAGGUCUUCGGAUUGUAAAGCACUUUAAGUUGGGAGGAAGGGUUGUAGAUUAAUACUCUGCAAUUUUGACGUUACCGACAGAAUAAGCACCGGCUAACUCUGUGCCAGCCGCCGCGGGUAAUUCAA
rnacentral:rRNA from 1 species